rnacentral:rRNA from 1 species
UACGUAGGGGGCUAGCGUUGCUCGGAAUCACUGGGCGUAAAGCGCACGUAGGCGGAUUGCUAAGUCAGGGGUGAAAUCCUGGAGCUCAACUCCAGAACUGCCUUUGAUACUGGCGGUCUCGAGUCCGGGAGAGGUGAGUGGAACUCCUAGUGUAGAGGUGAAAUUCGUAGAUAUUCGCAAGAACACCAGUGGCGAAGGCGGCUCACUGGCCCGGUACUGACGCUGAGGUGCGAAAGUGUGGGGAGCAAACAGG